rnacentral:misc_RNA from 1 species
UUGAUUAUUUAAUUUUUACUCGGACUUCACUAAUAAACAGAAUUUGAUUGAACCUCCGGCGGGCGCGAGCCGCCCCCCAGCAAGAAGACGCCGGGGGCCGGCAUGAGCCGUAUAGCCUACUCAAGGCCCGCCAAAGCAACAAAGGUAUGGUAAACAUGGGGUUGAGAUACACAACGAGCGCUGUCCAAGCCCUGACGGACUUGAACAGACACCCACCGCUGAGGGCUAGGCCCCCUAACUCAUUAAUGAUCCUUCCGCAGGUUCACCUACGGAAA